GAUGCGACCUCAGCUCAGGCGGGGCCACCCGCUGAGUUUAAGCAUAUCAAUAAGCGAGAGGAAAAAGAANCUAACANGGAUUCCNNUA
rnacentral:rRNA from 1 species